rnacentral:ncRNA from 2 species
AUAUUGUUUUGCGGGAGCUUGCGGAAGCAGGCUGAGAGUACGGCUAAUUCCGCCGUUGACCGUUCGAACCUGUUUGGGUAAUGCCAGCGCAGGGAAAGUGACUGUGGGAUCC